rnacentral:hammerhead_ribozyme from 1 species
AAGCGAAACCGCCUCGGGAAACCGGGGUGGUCUGCCGGGCGUGGUUGUCCGGUACUGACGAGCAGCCGAGG